GCGAGGGGCGGGAGGGAGGAGCCAGCCGCUCGCCCGGGAGCGAGCGUCCCACCUCUGCGCGCCUCCGCGCCCGGACCCCUGGAGCGUGGCCCGCUGCGAGGGACUGCGGGCCCGUUUUGGGAAUCUGGGUUCUGACCUUUGGACUGUUGCAUUUCUCUCUGGUCACCCCUGACCAUCACCUGAGGUUAUAUGGAGGCGUAACGUAAAUAGUGAGAAAGUUGUCGUCAUGCAUGACUCAGGAAUGAAUUGUAGAAAAAUGCGAAAUGAGGAAAACCUGGCCGAGUCACACUAGAUGCUGCAGAGAACGAAGUCUAACGAACUGGUUUCUCUUUAUCUGCUACUGUGGGCUUGGGGAGUGGAGCCAGGAUGAAUGUCAGGUAAAUCUAAUCCUGAUUCAUGAAAGCUGGCUGCCCCUGGGCAGGUGUUCUCAGGUUUAUCACAACUGCCACCACUACCUGAUGUCUUCCUAACAUUGCCUGGGAGUUGCCAUUUAUCAUCACAUCACACUGCUUUUCUCUGCACUCAAAAGGAGAAAAUGAAGGAUUGAGGAAGCUGUGUGUUUCACCAGUAGUUGAAGAGCGAUGUCAUUGUGGAAGGAGACUAUUCCUAUACGACAAGUAUGGUACACCAAAUACUAAUGCACUGUAUUAAAUUUACAUGACUUAAGAAGCUGUUAUGAAACAAACCACAGUAAAAAGUAUGACCAGAAUAGCAAAGACAUGUUAAUGACAAAGUUAACUUGAUGAAAAACUUAAUGGACUGGAAACAAG